UCAAGAUUACAUGUUUUAUUGGUCAUAUAUGUUGAAUAACCUCCAUUAUACGCACAACACAACAUAAUGAUAAUGAUUGUGAUGAGGAUUGUGAAUAAUUUGCCGUUUUCAAAAGAAGCAUACGACUCAGAAAUGAUGGAAAUAUGUAGGGCAUUGUAGCGAAAAUGUGUAGCAAUUUGAAAACUGUUUUUUGAAACGUUUUGGAAAAAUUUAAAAAUAUUGCAGAAUUGGGGGAAGUGCAGAAGGAGGGAGAAUCGGACCAGAGUACUCACAAGUGAAAAGUGAUACGCGGUGGAUCAAAGCAAAAAUGGUAUUCUGGGCGAUGACAAAUAAAAAACUGGCUGAACUAUAGAAAAGAAGAGACAAAGGUGUGAUUUAUUAAAAAUGUUCAGCUUUCAAAGAUCAAUGUUUGAAGGUCUGUUUCAAAUUAAGUCAGUACUGUUUCAACAGGAUGGUGUACCUGCACACAACGUGUGAGAAUACCGAUCGGACAAAUUUCCUAGAAAA